UGGGGAAUAUUGACAAUGGGGGGAACCCUGAUCCAGCCAUGCCGCGUGUGGGAAGAAGGCCUUAUGGUUGUAAAGCACUUUAAGCGAGGAGGAGGGUACUGGUAUUAAUACUACCAGCUACUGGACGUUACUCGCAGAAUAAGCACCGGCUAACUCUGUGCCAGCAGCCGCGGUAAUACAGAGGGUGCGAGCGUUAAUCGGAUUUACUGGGCGUAAAGCGUGCGUAGGCGGCUAAUUGAGUCGGAUGUGAAAUCCCCGAGCUUAACUUGGGAAUUGCAUUCGAUACUGGUUAGCUAGAGUGUGGGAGAGGAUGGUAGAAUUCCAGGUGUAGCGGUGAAAUGCGUAGAGAUCUGGAGGAAUACCGAUGGCGAAGGCAGCCAUCUGGCCUAACACUGACGCUGAGGUACGAAAGCAUGGGGAGCAAACAGG
rnacentral:rRNA from 1 species